rnacentral:rRNA from 1 species
GACGAACGCUGGCGGCGUGCUUAACACAUGCAAGACGAACGAUGAAGCCGGAGCUUGCUCUGGUGAAUUAGUGGCGAACGGGUGAGUAACACGUGAGUAACCUGCCCUUGACUCUGGGAUAACUGCUAGAAAUGGUAGCUAAUACCGGAUACGACCCUCGGAGGCAUCUCCAGGGGGUGGAAAGAAUUUCGGUCAAGGAUGGACUCGCGGCCUAUCAGCUGGUGGGUGAGGUAACGGCUCACCAAGGCGACGACGGGUAGCCGGCCUGAGAGGGUGAGCGGCCACACUGGGACUGAGACACGGCCCAGACGCCUACGGGAGGCAGCAGUGGGGAAUAUUGCACAAUGGGCGCAAGCCUGAUGCAGCAACGCCGCGUGAGGGAUGACGGCCUUCGGGUUGUAAACCUCUUUUAGUAGGGAAGAAGCGAAAGUGACGGUACCUGCAGAAAAAGCACCGGCUAACUACGUGCCAGCCGCCGCGGUAA